AGAACCAGGCAAAAACUGAAGAGUCAGAGAAGGAAGCCAUUAGUGAAGGCCAGGGCCGGGCAAUUUGAUGUUCUUUCCAUAGCAAGAGAGCCCAGAAAUGGUCAUGAAAUCUACAUACCAAAGAGGGAAUCUUAAACGUGUUUCCUCAUGUUAUGUCUCCCAUUAGCAUGUAUAUAGAUGGGUGCACAGAAUAUGUGGCAGCUGAGUGCCCAGCCCUGCAAGAGCAUCUGUGUCAAGAGUGCAUUGCUCCAGGAGCUCUGGUCUGCAAAAGACAGUCCAGAGAAUGAGAAUGUGGGCACCAGGAGGAGGAAAGGGCCAGGGGGACCCAGCACCUGCAGGUCUCUCUGUGCAGGAUGGCGGUAAGCACACUGCCGGGAGAAGACAGUCAUCAGCGCUCUGCGGCAGUCCAUUCUGUAUGCUGCAAUGCCCACCUGCUGGAGACGGUAUGCCCAUGAAUGCAAUCAUGGCCUGAGAGCUAGGACGGUAACCAAGCACUGUCUGGAUGAGUUUUGGAAAUUUCACAGGACGGAAUCCAUGCCUGGUGCUGUAAACCUGGUCCUAAGCUCAUACGCUGGGACAUAAAGGCCCAGGGGGAAACUCGAUACUGUCAUUUUUCUAAAUGCACGUGUUGUCAAAAUGCCCCCUACACGUUUAUGUUCAUGUCCAUAGAUUAGUGCUGCUCCCCGCCAAACAAUCUAUAGCUCCUUGCAUGCUGGAAUGCAUGGAGGCUGGGGAGGAGUGCUGUGACAACGUCUCUUCUGGACAGCAGGAGGCCAUUGCACUCAUGAAGCUCAGACACUGUGGUUACUUCCACUAAAGCUCCACAAGGUGGAGCCCUUCGGCAUUUUAGCACGCACAGAACUAUUGAUAGUUAAUUUGGGAGAAGAGUCAUUUUCUUUAGGGGUGUAGAGAAUGGGAAGUUGCCUAGGACCUAGUAGGACCCCCAAGCGUGUACAUGCAAGAAACCACAAUUAAACUCAGUGUGUUGUUAAAAAACAAAAAAAAAAAAAAAAAAAAAAAGGGGAGCUGGCAACUUGGCUUCAUGGAACAAAACCCUUGACAGCAAGCCAGACAAGCAGAUUUAAUCCUGGGAAUUGAUGAAGAGCAAAGUAACAUUUAACAAGCAUUGAAUAAGCUGGUGGAUUCCAUACUUUGUUACUUCUUUUCCCCAUGUUACUGGGGAUGGAAUCCAGGGCCUCAAGCAUGCUGAGCACAUGCCCCUAAAGUGUACCUUAGUCUCACUUCCUUCAUCCCCUCAACAGCCCUGAAAAGGACAUAGUACCAGUACCACCAGAUACCAUCCUCUCAACAGCCCUGAAAAGGACAUAGUACCAGUACCACCAGAUACCAGGGUACACCCCCUAAGUGUGCCUCCUGCCAUGAUUCAGCACUGCGCAACCUGCAAACCAGUAAUGAUGUACGCAAUGCAACAGAAAAG
rnacentral:lncRNA from 1 species